rnacentral:rRNA from 1 species
UACGUAGGUGGCAAGCGUUGUCCGGAAUUAUUGGGCGUAAAGCGCGCGCAGGCGGUCCUUUAAGUCUGAUGUGAAAGCCCACGGCUCAACCGUGGAGGGUCAUUGGAAACUGGGGGACUUGAGUACAGAAGAGAAGAGUGGAAUUCCACGUGUAGCGGUGAAAUGCGUAGAGAUGUGGAGGAACACCAGUGGCGAAGGCGGCUAUCUGGACGGUUUCUGACGCUAAGACGCGAAAGCGUGGGGAGCAAACAGG